CUGUUUCUGCCUCAUCUUAGUGAAAUGUAUAAUUGGCAUGGCUUUGUGAUAGUGAACAGUCAAUUAAUCGGAUAUUGGCUUAGGUCUUGAUAAAUAUAAUGUAAACAAGACACUUUUCUUUUAUUCAUGUCAUGGAGAAUAUACUUUUUUAAGCUUGGAUAUGGUAACUAUGAAUUCUGAACAAUCGGCAUGUCGCCGAAAACCAGGUGAAAAUAAUGACAUUGGAGGAACAGCUGAUCGAUAUAGAAGUAGAGAUAAUCAAAUAGAUCAAUGUAACAAUCAAAAUGGCCAAGCAGUUGACAAAUCUCCAAGUAGUCCCACAUAUCAUAUCACUGCCUCAUGUGCCGAAGAUACACCUAAUUAUCUUGUGUAUCAGAAAAUGGAAGAUAUUGUAGAAAAAAUGUCAGAUGAAGUUACAGGUGUUCCAGUGAAAACGGUAAAGAAUUUUAUGACAAAAACACCUUCUGUUUUUACUGGUACAGAUUUAAUAUCAUGGAUGAUGAAGGCCAUGGCUAUAGAUGAUCAAGAGGCACUUCAUGUGGCACAUCUUAUGGCAUCUCAUGGAUAUUUCUUCCCUAUUGAUGACCACUGCCUUACUGUAAAAAAUGAUAAUACUUUCUAUAGGUUUCAAACACCAUAUUUUUGGCCAUCAAAUUGUUGGGAACCAGAAAAUACUGAUUAUGCUGUCUAUUUAUGCAAAAGAACGAUGCAAAAUAAAACACGUUUAGAAUUAGCAGAUUAUGAGGCUGAAAAUUUAGCUAAGUUGCAGAAAAUGUUUUCGAGGAAAUGGGAGUUCAUUUUUAUGCAAGCAGAAGCACAAAGCAAAGUCGAUAAAAAGCGAGAUAAAUUAGAAAGAAAGGUACUGGAUAGUCAGGAAAGAGCUUUCUGGGAUGUAUAUAGACCAAUGCCUGGAUGUGUUAAUACGACAGAAAUGGACAUUAAGAAAGCAUGCCGUACUUAUAAACCAAUUUCGAAGUUAAACAAACAUUUAGGUAUGACUACUACCGACAUUCCUUCACAUUCAGGAUCGUUCUCGAUAUCAUCGAUAGAAUCGUUAAAUAAGGAGAUUGAAAUGUUGAAAUCUAGACUAGAUAGAUCGAAUAUAAAGGUCUCGAAAGUUUCAGAAGCUCUGAUUGCAUAUUUUGAGCAGUAUGUAGAGUAUGAUCCUUUUUUCAUACAACCUGAAUUCACAAAUCCAUGGAUAUCAGAUAAUCCUGAAAUGUGGGAGCAAGAAAAAUUAGCCAAAGAAAUAUCAACAAGAAGAGUAAAAAGAUGGGGUUUUAGUCUUCAAGAAUUGCUACAAGAUCCUGUUGGUAGAGAACAAUUUAUACGCUUUCUGGAUAAAGAGUUCAGUGGUGAAAAUCUAAAAUUUUGGGAAGCCGUGCAAGAAUUGAAAACAUUACCUCAAAAAGAAGUUCAAAAUAAAGUGAACGAAAUUUGGAAUGAGUAUUUGGGUCCAGAUGCUAGUUGUCCAAUUAACGUCGAUUGCCAGUCCUAUGAGCUAACAAAGAAGCAUUUACAAAAACCUGAUCGAUGGUGUUUCGACAUAACAGCGGCGCACGUUUAUCAUCUGAUGAAAAGCGAUAGUUACUCCAGGUAUCUUCGCUCGGAAAUGUAUAAGGAUUUUCUCAGUGGCUCGAAGAAAAAGACUUCGGUAAAAGGUAUUCGUUCUAUUGUAUCGUUCAGCGGGCGCAGGGACACAGCCACGUCGUAAUCACCAGCUUAAAAAUUUUUCAUAAAUGGUUUUGGGAAUCUUUCCAAGUCUCGUGUUAUGUUUUCGUAUUCAGAAUCAUUCGAAGAGGAGACAAUGCAGUUCAUUUUAUUACUAUUACGCUAAAAAAGAUAUAGGUAGUCUAAAUUAAAAUAAACACUACAAUUGUAAAAUAAUAAUUCUACAUGGAAUUCUAAAGAGACUAUCAAGAACUUCUCAAAUAUGAAAUUUUAAUAAGUUGAUAUUCCAUCGACAAAAAUUAAUUAUGUUCAGGUAUGCAUAUGUUUAAAAGAAAAGAAAAAAGCAUCUCAGAUUAUUAACUGCUACAACAGUCAGAAACUAAAAUGCAUGAUUAACAUGUAAUGAUUAAUAAUACAUUAGUAAUUAUUAUACAAUAAAAUUUUACUAAAGCACAUGUUCCACUAUACUCUUUCAUAUCUUAUAAAAAUGAAAUGUUUGUCAAUACAAUAAGUAUUGUAUUAAGUAAAGUAAUUGAGAUCAAAUAUUAAAAAUAUAAUUCCUACAUUUCUGAGUAACACAUAACUCUUGUACGCCUUUGACAAUGUUUAAAAUCUACAGUAUUUGUUUAAGAUUAAUAAAGAAAGAAACAAUAGGAUACCACACACCUAUUUUCGUAUCAAUUAUAUUUUUCAUGAAUAGACAAAUACGCCUGUAGUGAAGAAAAUAUAUUAUACGAAAAGUUAUCAAGCAUUUGCAAUCUUGUAAUAUUUAUUAUAUUAAAACGUAUUGUAAGCCAGGUAUAUAUUAGAAGAACAAAAUGUAAUUAUAAAUAUAACAUAGUAUAAAAAAGAA